UCGCGGUGACCGUUUUGGGGCGAGGUGGGGGGGAUUCCCGCCUGUACAGAGAUGGAGGUUGGGAAAUAACGGUCGCUGCCGGCGAACGGCCGCAAGAUGGCGCCGCCAGCCGCGUCUGCGGGUCAGCGCGUCCACGCACAGGUGCGGGUGUCCGGUAACGGGCGGCCCUGUGGCUCCGGGCUUGCGGCCUCCCUUCUGCUCCACCGGCUCUGUUGGCUGUUGAUUCAUUCAAAGCCCUUCAGAAUCUUUGCAAGCUUCGACCAAGAAAACAUGUUUUCUCCACCAAUAAUUCUUGAAGAAGCUUUUUUUGCAGGAGGAAAUCAUUAGGAGACUAGAUUUGGACUCCAGCCUGCCACUUAUCAAUACCUCUGCUGCUCCUAUGGCCCCAAGUUGAUGGUACAACAGAAAGAGUCUGACAGCUGAAAUGUGUUGGGAAUCCAGCUGACAUCAACAUGUAUCUGCUGAGAAGUUAUCACAUCAAUGACUCGAUGCAGGUUGUACCUGAGCAAAUGAAAUGGAGGCCAGAACAAAUGGACAUGUCCUAUAACCACCGUCCCUUCCAGCUCAAAGCCACGGUCUUUAAAAGCAGUGCAUCCAUCAGCUGGUCACUGCUGCAAACAAGAAGCAGAGAGGGACACGUGUCAGAUUUGAAGAGUACAGGCUUCUAAUUCGAGAUGUUUAUAGUGGGGCAAAAAGCCUAAGUGGAGUCUUUAGAAAGCAUUUGCAACAGUCACCUUUUUGUGUCACCCCUCCCAUGCUCCCAGAAGAGUAAAAAUUAAGGCAAUAGGAAACCAUGCUCAGCCUUGCAUGGUUUAAGGCACGGAUUUUUGAAGUGAUCCUGCAUUGAGGACCUUCACACAAAACAAUACUGAAGUUGCAAAUGGAUGAUAUUGAGCAUAGAGGCAGCAGAAAUAAAUGGGUGGUCAAAAAUAGCUUGAAAUGGGACUCAUCAGAGAACACGGACUCAAUCUCCAUAAACACCCUCUGACCUUUUGGCAGGUGGCACCCACACCAGCCACUGUCCAGAUGCCUAAAUCACAGCUCUCCCGGCAACCACCCGUGCCCUCCAGCCCCACUCCCUGCUAUCCCGGGCAAAGCUUCAGCCAGGGGUGGCGAGGGAGCUGGGGUGAGGGUCUCUCCCAGGUAGGUAGGACUCUGUUUGCAUGGUAUUUGAAGGCUGAAGUUUCACAAUGUUAUCAUGAGAGCUGAGACGUCAGAGCUGAAGUCCUUCCUCCCAUCAGAAACUGGGAAAGAGAGACUACACCCCCCUUUCCCAACACCUCCGCUACCUCCUAGACUGGAGGAAGCCUUUCUACACUGCUGCUGUUGUGGUGUCAUUUUUAUUCAGACACUUGGAAGAAGGGCUGGGUUUUUUUCCCUUUCCUGCCCUCUCUCUCCUGUGUUGUUUCUCCGUUACCCAUUAGCAAAGGGACCUUUCUGGUGCUGCCGUUUUGGGGCUGGCUGCCUUACAAACUCAGUUCACAGAUGAGAAAUUUCAGGCACAACUUGGCAAAUCCAGAGGACACUGUUGGAAGCUGCUGGUGUGAUACAAAUAUUCAUUCAUUUACUGUGUAUGGAAUAUAAGGAAGAUGAGUCAACUGACACGUGGUUUCUAAGGAGUGUACGGAAAAAUCACAUCCUAUCCUUGUUUCCAAUUGGGGAGUUGCUUUUUCCACCUGAAAAACUCAACUAGAUCCUCCAGUUGAUGUUUAAUGAUGACAACAAUGAACUAUUACAUAAAAUGAGUUUGGGAGCUCAGCAGCAUCCAUCCACCACAAUUUUAACAUCCAAUGUAUCAUUUUUGUGUGGCAUAUCUAAUGAUGCUGAUUUUGAUGUGUUAUCCUGAUGUUUUGCAGUUCUAGUGACACCUUUGUCUAGUUUCUUAAGCUACAUUUAUAUUUACCCAAUCCGGGAGGUCUAGUUCACCUGCUAUCAGGAAGGGAAAAAACAACACAGAUUUUAUUGGUACAGUCUGUGUCUGGGAAACUAUUAAAACGCAUCUUCAAUUGCCUCAGGGCUUGUGUUGGAGCCCAAAGCCUGGGAUGACUCUUAUGAUUAGGACUAAAAGUCAAGAAACGCAGUAAACGGUACAAGUGAAUUCAGCCAAAGGGAUGAAAUGUGUGCAGGUCUUCAGGUGGAUUCACUGAGCUCUAAGUACAAUUAGAAAAAUGGGAAAGAGAAGUUCCCUAUACCGUUUUUCUGACUAAACAAAAAAGAUAUUUUGUUUUUUCCCUGAAGAACUAAUUUGCUUUUUCAUAGUCAGCAUUUUUCAGAAAGUGAAGCUGAUAUAUUUUUUAUAAUGUUCUUAUAAAGCCAGGCAAGUGCAUUAGAAAUUGCUAACAUUUGUCAUGUUCCUUGUUAAAAAAAUACACACUGAUGGUCUCUCUUUAAUAAAUAACUUAAAUAACUUGCAAUAAAUCACUAGGGCUGUUGACCAAAUGAAAAAUAGAAACAGAACAAAAGAUAAACCAAAUAUUAUUAGUUCUACAAGAAGACGGUGUCCAAAUUUAGCCUGUGCAAUUUUUCUUGGAAAAGAGAGGCUAAAAUUGUCUCCAGCUAAACCAAGACUCCUGUAUCCUUGUCAUUUAGGAAGUCUUUCAGUGACAGGGAGGCAAAGACUAGAACUGACAAUUAUUUGCAACAGAAGAGAAGAACAACAAAACGGAGGUUAUAGGAAGAGUUAUUUAUCAUGCUCAUCUGACAGCCCAAAUGCAAUGAGAUUAGGCAGAAGUGCCCAGGCGCUAUUUACAGAAGAAUCAUCUCUUGAAAUAGACUUUCAUCUCCCUUUGCUCUGUCAUAAUUAGGAACGUCAAAUUUCUUUGAAAAAACGAAGGCAUGGGAGAAGAGAAGGUUUAACUUCCUCUUCUUCCUCAGAAAAUUGAAAUAUGAGUACGAAUUGAAACACCUGUCUGCAAUAAAUAUUUGCUUGCUCAACCUAAAAUUUAUUUAUAUUUUUGAAAGUGAAGAAUGCCUUUUUCAUAAUCUAGUGAUCUUAUAGGAGUUAUAUUUUGGUUUGUUAAAUAAAUAUGAAUUCUUUACCUUUGAAUGAUGAUAAAUCUGUUACCAGAAUUGAUGUUCCAGUGCACCCCAAAGAACCUAAGCUGGGGUACCAGUAAAACAGGAAAAAUGGAAGAAAUGCUGCAAGUGGAAAGAAACAGUACAGCUGAGCAUCACAGGUAAAAGGUGGCACACAGAAGUUUUCUGUAGAUUGUGGAUACCAAAGUGUAUUGUGUGUCUGGAAACUAUCUUGGAAAAUGAAUUUAAUAUAACAACACAUUUGUUAUAAUGGCUUUAACGUUGCACACAGUAUAAAGGAGCCACAAUAAGCGUGGUUCAAAAAAAACCCAACCCACCACACAGUCAUUUUUUUCCUGAUUUCUGCCCUUAGAGAUGGGAGCUUCCCACAUGCUCAGGUUUUGUAUAUUUAAUACAAAGCAUGCACUCUCCCUUGUGAGAAAUGUUCUGGCUGAAACGUGGUCUUGGUCCAUGGUGGAACAAGAUGUUUCUUCUUUCUGUUUUUCAUUUCAAAUUGUUUUGCAAACAGAAAAGUCUAAGGACAUUUUUGUUUUGGAAACCUUUCUGUAGCGAAACGUGUUGCCUGUGCUCUGAGAGGGCUUCAGUGGCUCUGAUAACAUUGUUUGCAGCUCGCAGCUGCCUGGGACCCCAAGUCCUUGGCUCUAUGUCUAUCUGAGGCUGCCAAAGAGUUUAACUUCCGAGUGACAUGGGCCACCCUCCCUCCCUCCCCAUCUGAGCUGGCUGCUCCCAAGAAAGGGCUGUGGGAGCACUGAGUCCCGGCUUUCGGGCAGGCUUGGAUUAUGCAGGAGCUUGUCAGACCCUGUGUGUUUCAAAUGAAACACACCAGGCUCAGUGAGCAAAUGUGGGAACAAAUUAAUGCUUUAAGUUAAAUUUUGCUUCUGACUCCAUCUCUUCCCUGCUUUACUGGUGCAGAACUUCCCAUGUGCCAACUCAGCCUGACCGGGGAGAUUUCUCAAUCUGCAUGUCUGCUCGUCUCCCAUACAGUUUGCUGGCUGUGGGGUUCCACCCCCCGAGGCAGCUGAAUCCCAUCCAUCUGCCACCUUCCAGUCCAGAAUUUAACCCAGAAGCUGCAUUUUUCUUAAGCACUCCCCAUCCUUGGCAGUUACUAUGGCAACCCUGGGACCAACUGUCAGAUGCUGAAACUGCUGCAGCUCCACUUCUGUCAGGAUACAGCUAAAUCACUAAUGGACUAAUUAUUACCACGGGAAGAUAAAUUUUAUGGUUUUUAUUGUAAGACCUAAGGUGAAUAAAGAGCUCAAGUCAUACCUGCACAAGCCAACCACACUCAGAGCUGUUAUUCCCAUAGCAAUCACAAGUAAUUACAUUUUUUGUACCAGCCUUUUAAUGUUUACUGCAUUGAGAGAGAGCCCUAGGAGCACUCAGUUUUGUUACCACACAGAUCACCAACUAGCGUGUCUGUGCAGCAACAAUGCUGCUGGUGUUUUACCAAGAAACACGCUCACUCACUUGCCGGAGGAGAGAAUUGGAAAUUACCAGGGUGGAGGAGCAUCACUGAAGGUUUUGGGUCACCUCCUAUUUUUAAAAGGCAUCAUACAGGCUGGUGGAAGGGGACUCACCUCAAAUGUAAAAAGAACUGAAUCCUGGUUUUAUUACUAGGCUGUGAGGGGUUGACAAGCAAUUUGUUUCCACUUUCAUGCCCAAUUUCUGCAUCUGUUAAAGGGGAGUUCUGAUGUUGAUGUCUCUCUUCAUAAGGUAGAUCUAACAGCAUUUUAAAGCAAAGAUGUAUAAAAUAUGCAUGUUAACAUCACCACCACUUACAUCAUCACUUCAGGUGAUCCCAGAGCACUGUCAGAAGAAGACGGCAAUGUUUGACUUGGAGCACCACAGCCUGGGCAUCCCCUGCCUGCUCUCCAGUUGCCAGCAAACUCAGCGAUGUGCUUCAAAACCCUGUGCUCUCCUCUAUAAGACCCUGUAACAAACCAAAUUUAGACCCUCCAGACUGCAAUCGAAUCCAUUGACUGCGGUGAUAUGAAGUUCAUGCGAUAUGAAUGAAGCUGAAUUUCUGAGCAAUCACAAGGAUUUUCAGCGUGGUGGUGGACAGCACGCACCUACCAUCAGUGACACCCACAUGCCCAGCGAGCUGCCAGAGUGGGCACACACAGUGUGGCUGUGAUGGUGUGAGGGCUGGGACUUGCUUCUGCCAUGGUGAGGUGAUAUUGGAGGUGACAACUGCAACUCUGGGUGUGUUUGAGAAUCUCCUUGUACUGGGACUGAGCAAUAGCUCCUGCUCCGGGGAGCCUCACACUCUUCAAUGCACUUGCCGCAGGACCCUUACAGGCAAUUAUAUCAAGUGCACAAUAUAAUUAACUUUUUAAACAAAAAACCUCACUUGAGAAUGAUUUGUGAAAAGUUUGAAGUGAGUCUUGUAUUUUACAUCCCUGAGCCUGUAAAGCUUCUGUAGUACAACCAACCUCCAAGCCCAAUGGCUUUGUCACAGUACCUAACUUUAUUUUAAAAGCCAUAUUCAUUUAAGUGUUCACAGAAACCUUCUUUGCUCUUUAUAAUCCUGGGUAAAAUACACACAAGUUAUUUUAGAACACAGUUUUUUCUCUUUGAAAUGCUCGUGAAAUGAGACAGAUAACAGUCCCGGACACUUUUUUCCACUAACAGAAUACUGGAUCAGCAUCCCAUGCCCUCAGAGCCAGCUACUGACAACCACGCCAACAAGGUCAGCAAGAUUUGAAGUGAGAGCUCCAAUUCAUCUUGUGCCUACUACCAAAUGGUCAUCACAAUCUGAUGAAUAGAAAUCAUAGAAUGUUCUGAGUUGGAAGGGACCAACGAGGAUCAUCGAGUCCAGCUCCUGUUCCUGCCCAGGUCAACCCCACAGUUCACACCACGUGUCUGAGGGCAUUGUCCAGUCUCUUCUUGAACACCGUCAGGCUUGGGGCUGUGACACCCCCCUGGGAAGGCUGUUCCAGUGCUCCACCACCCUCUGGGAGAAGAACCUUUUCCUAAUGCCCAACCUAAGCCUCCCCUGGCACAUCUUCCUGCCAUUCCCUUGGGUUCUAUCUAGCAGCUUGGAAGGUGUGAUGUUCAACUCACCAUAAAAAGUACCUGAGGCUACUGGGGAUAAAGGAGCUAGAGAGAUUUUGAGGACUUGCCUUCAGCUUGCCUCACUGGCUGAGCAAAGGCAGUGCCCAGCUAAUGAAAAGAGCUUUGCUCCUGCUCCCCACAACCUUGUCUUCCUCCCUCCCAGCUCUCCUUCUUUCACUACUCACCAGGGCUAAAAAUAGUAGCUACAGGCAAACAGAUUGAAUGGAACUAAGGGCAGGUCAGGAAGGAGAAAAUAUUGGAAGAGGUUUGAGCAUCAAGUCAUCCCACAGAGGGAAAGGAGAAGAUCUACCAUCUUAUUUGAGAACAGCUGCAGAUCCCCUGGAAAUUGUUUUCCAAUUAGUAACAAAGCCCACUAACAAACUCUAUUUAGAGUGAAUUUCAGUUGAGACUUUCCUAACUUAGUAGCCAUCAGUUAUGACUUUGAUAGUGACUCUGUCAAAUUCUAUGGAUUAUGCCACAUACAGCCCUUCUCCUGAAAAAAAAAGGGAAGCAUUGCAAUAUGGUGAGUCACAAUCAGAAAAAAGGAGCUUGCUUUAAGAGCACUAUAUGCCUGUUUUUCCAAUCAAAACACCUUGUUGUGUUUUUUAGUGGGUUUUUUGAACUUCAGUUUGCUCUAGCAAAGCAAAAUUAAUAAAAAGGGGAGUACUGAUGAUUCUUAAAAGGCACUGAGUAGGUAGAUGGAACCUUUUCAUGGAAAGAACAAAGCAAUUGCAAAUAAUAAAAGGAACUUUUAAAACUAAGGAAAAUAGAUAUCUAAUACCCUCAAAAAACAACUCUGACUCAACAGUAAAAUCACUGAGAAGACAAACCAGGUGCUUACAAAGAUAAAAGCAUUUGGUCAUGUUAUAAUUCAUGAAAAUAGCUUAAAAUUGAUUUAACCUCACAUUUCAAAGACUAAAUUAAUCUCUAUUUUGGCAGGGCAGAUGACCUCCACCUGCCUUCUGUGCCAUUUUCUGUACUUCAUCAGAGGCUUUUAGAGUUGAACUCUUGUUGGGGUGUGACAGUGGACCAGGAGGAACAUGGCCUUUGACCUCACUGGUGCUAACUGGCAUCUAAUUUUUCAACAGCGUUGUCGGGUCUGGCUGGUGCAACAGUGUGGUAUGGAGGAUUCCCAGGGAUUGUUUAUGAAUGGCCUUUGCAAUAGGCCUGAGCCUCAGAGGCUGAACCUGGCUCAGUCCUGUCUUUCCAUACAAAAAUGACUUUGUGGACACAACUACCCAGCAUUCCAAGGCAGCAUCUCUGAGCAUAUUCUCCCAUCCCUUAAACACAAAUGCGCACACACUUCAAUGAUAGCUGUUUUUCUUGUGCAAGGACAGUGAAACUUCUAUUAAACAUUCACUUCUGUAAUUUCUUCCUCAAAAUCUUUUUCUGAGGUGUUGUGAAACAACUUGGGACAUACACAAUAGUCUACUGUAACAUUUUAUUCAAGCUACAUUUAUCUACGGCUAAGGUAAGAAAAUGUCAUGAUAAAGGUGAUGCAGGAUGUUGUUAAUGAACCUUGUCCUACCUCCAUCAGAGGAAAGCAUAAAGAACUAGAACUUGGGCAGUUAUUGAUUCAGUAUAGCCUGGCAGAAGAGUCUUAGCAUCUCUGAUGUUUAAAGAUGCAACUGCUUCCUUUGGUGACAAUCUGCCCAAGCUUCGAGACAUGAAAUUAGUUACCAGGAAUUAUAGCAACACAUAAAAAAAGUUGCUUUUCACCUUUGUAAUGGUCUUAAGAAAUAUCCUUUGUGGAAGUGAGUUCAAUGACAUCUGAACCCUUAGAGAAGUGCUCUUCCUAGGAUGUAAACAUUGACAGCAAGCUGUUGCAGGACAGAAGGAUUAGCUUGAGCGUAUGUACAACCUUCAGUCUGCCAUGCAGGAAUAUAAGGUGGUCUCCGUAUUCUCCGCCACUGCCUUAUCCAUCGAAUUUGGGCUGUUACUAUUGUGAUUAGAAACUGAAGGUCGUUUAGUGGCCAGCUAAAUCAACUGGUCAAUUGAUGCUUAACAAGAGUAUUAUGGUGUGUUGCUUGUUGGUCUUUUCCUCUCAUAGGCUUACUUGAAAAGCUGAAUGAUGAUCUCAAGUAUUGCAUCACUGUGGCAGUAAUCAAAUUAGCCAAGUGCGCAUCCCCAGGUAAUUGUUUCUGCACAGGACAGAUGCUUCUGCAAACGCAGCACGAGUGGUGGCACUAGAGGGAGCUCCUGCAACAUCACCCACCUCAAAGCCCCCAGUCUGAAAUUAGACCCAGAUCCUAAGAUUUGCUUUUAAAAUUGUGUGGUUUCAAAUUGUGGGUUGGUUUAUUACUUAUUCAUUACUUCUAUGGACAUUUGAAUCACAUUUUCAAAUUUUCUUUUGCUGCUACAGACUCUAGAACUAAUUUACCAGCAUCUCUUCUGCUCCUUGCCAGCAGCUCCUAUUACUGGUUCUAGGAAUUGAGACACAGCCCAUUGCCCAAAUGUUUAUGUAAAACAAACAAACUCAAACACUAUGGAUAUCUUAAUUUUACAAAAAAAAUGCUUGAAAAGCUUCACCGAAGUCUGAAAAAUCUUCCAAAUAUUAAAAUGUUGCUCU